rnacentral:rRNA from 1 species
UACGGAGGAUCCGAGCGUUAUCCGGAUUUAUUGGGUUUAAAGGGUGCGCAGGCGGGAGAUUAAGUCGGUGGUGAAAUUUUGCAGCUUAACUGUAACAGUGCCGUUGAUACUGUUUGGCUAGGAUUUGGUUGUAGUGUGCGGAAUGUGUGGUGUAGCGGUGAAAUGCUUAGAUAUCACACAGAACACCGAUUGCGAAGGCAGCACACUAAGUCAUUAUUGACGCUGAGGCACGAAAGUGUGGGGAUCAAACAGGAUUAGAUA